rnacentral:lncRNA from 1 species
GUUCACAUGGAGUCACACCAUUACACAGGCUUCGUGCACUUCAGCACACCACAGAGACUCCCACUCUUUCCCUGAAUGAAAAGAAGGAAAAAUCUAAGCAAAUUCAAACUUGGUGUAUUUCAUAGCACUUCGCAAAUUACACCAUAAGUACAAUCAAGUCUGUGAGGACACUCAAGAUCUUACAGGACUGAGCGUAUGAAGCUAAAGAAAUAACUUUUCCAUCCAGAACAUGGUUUCAGACAUUACAAAGAAGGAAGACAGGCACAACCACACAGUUCUGUGAUUCUUAGUAAGAAAUCCCUUUCUUCGCCAUCACAGUUAUCUAGUUACGUAGUAACUACCCUAUUGAACUUGCAAAACCUCGUGAAAAGACUGCAGAAAUAUCGACAUUCAUAAGAAUCCCUCAAAAAUAAUUUCACUGUUAAAAAUGGUUAGCUUUGUAUUUUAUUUUAUUUUGUCUUGUUGUGUUUUCUUACUGUUUGCUGUCACUAUUCCUCACUUGGGGCCAUUAAACACAUUCACCGUGACAGCCAAGAAUGCAACAUCUGCAUUCUUUGCCUGGUAGAAACACGAGCAGGUGUGAGCAAGAGCAGUCAAUGUGGGCCCUUGCCAACUUCUACCAAACCAAUUGAGUUGCCAAGGUACGUAGGACACACAUACUAUCUCC